rnacentral:lncRNA from 1 species
UUACCUUAUAACCAUUUGUUUCAGCCUUAUUUUGUUUAGAAUUCUUUUGACUAUAGUUGUCGGGUCGACAGUGUUAAUCAUUUGUACCUUGUCUCACCAAAUUCGAUAUAUUCAUAUUUGGUUAGUUGUUGUAAUUGUUCGUUCAUUCAGUUCCUUCGGUACAUAUAUAUUUUGUUUAUGUAUGUGCAUUUUUAUAUCCGUACUGGGCAAUUAGCUUACGCUGUGUUCUUUUUCUGGCAGGUAAUCAAGGGUGAUCAGGAUACUAGUCUUGACAUUGAUAGGGACAUUAGCAAGGAAACACAUACUUUUAAGAGCGUUAGGAAUAAGGCCGGAAAACAAUGAGAAAG